rnacentral:rRNA from 1 species
ACGGGUGAGUAACACGUGGGUAACCUGCCCUUAAGUGGGGGAUAACAUUUGGAAACAGAUGCUAAUACCGCAUAAAUCCAAGAACCGCAUGGUCUUGGCUGAAAGAUGGCGUAAGCUAUCGCUUUUGGAUGGACCCGCGGCGUAUUAACUAGUUGGUGAGGUAACGGCUCACCAAGGCAAUGAUACGUAGCCGAACUGAGAGGUUGAUCGGCCACAUUGGGACUGAGACACGGCCCAAACUCCUACGGGAGGCAGCAUG